UACGUAGGGUGCAAGCGUUGUCCGGAAUUAUUGGGCGUAAAGAGCUCGUAGGCGGUCUGUCGCGUCGGCUGUGAAAACCCGAGGCUCAACCUCGGGCCUGCAGUCGAUACGGGCAAACUAGAGUACUGCAGGGGAGACUGGAACUUCCCGGUGUAGCGGUGAAAUGCGCAGAUAUCGGGAAGAACACCCGUGGCUAAGGCGGCUCUCUAGUACGGUACUGACGCUGAGACGCGAAAGCGUGGGGAGCGAACAGG
rnacentral:rRNA from 1 species